rnacentral:rRNA from 1 species
AUUGACCGCUAGCGGGAUGCUUUACCCAUGCAAUUCGAACGAGUGUCGGACGGGUGAGUAAUAUAUCGGAAGUGCCCAGUAGCGGGGGAUAACUACUGGAAACGGUAGCUAAUACCGCAUACUAUCGGAUAACCCAUAUGGGAUUAGCUAGUAGGUGAGGUAAUGGCUCACCUCGGCGACGAUCCCUAGCUGGUCUGACAGGGUAAUUAGCCAAACUGGGACUGAGACACGGCCAAGACUCCUACGGAGGCAGCAGUGGGGAAUAUUGCACAAUGGGCGCAAGCCUGAUGCAGCCAUGCCGCGUGUAUGAAGAAGGCCCUAGGGUUGUAAAGUACUUUCAGUCGGGAGGCGUUACCGACAGAAGAAGCACCGGCUAACUCCGUGCCAGCAGCCGCGGUAAUUC